rnacentral:misc_RNA from 1 species
CCACAAGGAGGAAACACAAACGUCUCACUAAUUGCGCGACACUCGGACCAAAACAGAAAACGCAAAGUCGACAUCCGUCGCUGGAUGUUGGCAAUCACAGGCAACUUUCCCGCUUCCUUUUGUUUCCUUUAGCUCUCUCUAUAUCUUUCUUGUACGUUGUGUCGUCGUUCUCGUUCGCUUUCUGUCCCCUACCCUCGGGUCUACGGUCAUCACCUUCAUCUCUGCACCCACACGUCCAAUCCAAAGUACUUUCGCCUGCUGCCAUAGCAAAGGGAAAAGAAUCUAUCGAGGGCAAAUCGGAAGGGACUUCUCCGUUCUCCUUGCUUCGUGGCGUUUCUUCCUUCCUGCUCUCCUCGUUCAGCUCAGAAUCACCGGUCCGUCAGUAGAAGCCCUCGCAACGCAGUAGGCGGCAGCUUCUUUUCGGUCAUUUCAGCAUUGCCGACCACGUCGCCGUAGAGUCGGCCUCUUCUCCCGAGAUGCGUCUUUCUACCUCGUCGCAUCGUCACAGGCGUGACAAGGAGCGAAACGCAAAUAAGACUCACUGCGACCCUGGAGGGCGCUGGAACCGACAAACAACCCCGCCGCUGCUUAGCCCCAGCUACAAUCAACCGUGUGGCCGACUUUUAACGGCCUUUGAGACUCCCUUCUCAUAUUUGGAGGACUCGGCUUGCUUAGCGGUAGGGAACGCUCCCCCCUCCCGAUUCCCCACGACUGCAGCGGCCGAUGGCACUCACACCGUGUCACACGCCGUUGGUUCCAAGGCUCCGAUUCCAUCCACACCGUUUGGCCAGCGCACCACGCUCGCGCACGAGGCGCUCAGCAACUUCCUGGAGAUCGGUUCUCAUGCGGGCAGGCACCAACACUCGACCAGGAGCGGCCGAAAAGCGAACGUCAUCUCCAGCCCUCUUUUCCCGACAACUGUAGCGUCAACCCCCACGUCCGCUACAUGGACAGAUGCAGCGCAAGACGCGGCCUUCCCCUCAACAACGCGUCUCGACACGGUUACUGUACCUAGUGAAUCGCUCAAGUCAAAGCGCGCGGAUAGUACCGACGCCGCAACCACGCUUCCUUCCGUGCCACUGACGUUCUCGCUUACCUUGAUCCCACCGCCCCGGCCGCAGGAUGUCGGCAAGCUCGUUGUUGUGCUAGAUCUCGACGAGACUCUUGUGUAUAGCCGCGACAUCAUCGUCUACAAGCGUCCUGGUGUGAUUCAGCUGCUGAGGACGCUGAAGGGCAAGUGCGAGGUUAUUGUGUGGACGGCCGGAACGCGAGAGUACGCGCUGGAUGUGAUUCGCACCAUCGACUCGGUUGGCGCCGUACAGUACUGCAUCUACCGCCACCCCACGUGGUGGACGGGCGACAUAGGUUGCACAAAGGACCUUCGUCUGCUAGGCCGCCCCAUGGAUCGGGUACUCCUCGUAGACAACACCCCCAGCGUGUUCCGUGCAAACCCGCGCAACUCUCUUCUCGUCGAGGACUUCAUUGUGCCACACCCGAGAGCGUACAACGCACAGGAGAAGACGCUGUCGGUGUUGGCUGACAUCUUCGAGCAUGUGUUCCGCCGUUUCACCUCCCCAUGCAUCGCCGACGUGCUGGCGAGCAAGCGCAUCAGCCGGCAAGCCAUCCGACUGGAGCGGGGCGGAUUUGUGGAUCUCAACGUCCUCACCCCCUUUUGAAGCAUGGAUGUGACUUAAUCCAUUGCCAUGUGACCGCCAUGCUUGCCGCUCACAGCUUCACCGGGAGAGGGUACAACUGUGCUAUCCUCUGUGCCGGGCCCUCCUCCUGGGUUGUGUACCGUUUUGUGAUGUUUCGCUUGCGUCCUCCGCUCCUUCUCCUUUCUCUCCGUAUCACGGCGUGCGUGUAUGUGCACGGCUGUGUGCGAGAGCUCGACUGCCUGCCGGGAGGUUGUUGUAUUGCUUCGUGAUGUGAGGUCCAAUUCUCCUUGAACCCUCGUUCACUGUAGUGUCUUCCCGCCUUCAGCGCCGACUGUACAUUUCUCGUAUGCAUUCCCUUUCCAGUGGAGGGGUUUUGGGGGCUCACCUGUGCGCGCUCUCUCUUUCACUUUUGAGCGUGUGCGUGUUCUUUUUUUUUCAUGUUCCUUGUACUACUGCUAAUACUUCCGAUUCGAUCUUUUUCUUCUAUUGUGUUUGUUUGCUGUUUGUGUUUCCGCCAUCGCCCCCUCCCCACUUCUCGACGCCCUCACCGACAACACUGCUCUCUCCCUUGGCUCGUCUCCUUUUACUACCUCCGAUCUCUGCUGGGGCUGGGUGCGAUGGCUCUUGUCGCUACACAAAAAAAAACCCAAAACAACGCCAAAACUAUCCGGCACCUCUGCGCCCCUCCCCCACCCCCUUACUUGCCCGAAGAGUUUUUUUUUUCUCGUGACUUUGCUUCACUUACGAUGUCCUCACGUGGUGCCGCUCGUGUUUUUUCUUUUUGCGUUCUUUCCUUCCUGUCUCUUCCUUCUCCCUUUACAGCCCCCCAUAAGCUUUGCCUUUUUUCUUGUCCCUUCGAUUCCUCGUGCUUGGAUGGGUGUACCGCACCGAGAGCACAACUGAUGCCCAUCUCCUUUUCCUUUCCCCCCUCUCUUCGUUCUCUUGCUAGUUUUGUGGCUUUCACCGUUGCCUAAAGCUCCUUGAUGUGCGUGCGUUUCUGUCUGUUGGGCGCUACAGAGAAAGCGAACGAUAAAGAGGGAGAUCCGCGGAUGACGCAAACGGAGAAGAGGGGGAACAACGCAUAUGUGCGUGUGUGGGCUUUCACUCUCUUGUAGAACAAAAACAUGACCGACACACACAGACACAAACGUAAACUACGAGACCGUCUUCUCUUUGCUUCUUCCUCUUCGUCUUUGCGCUCCAG